CGAGCCUGGGAAAACCCCGCCCCCUGCGCCUGGCCUGGGCUCAUUGGCGCGCGCUGCGUGUGGGGUGUGUGUGUGUGUGUCCGGGGGCCCCCUCCUCCGGCCCCCGCCGGGCCAGGAAUCCGAGGGGGUGGCGGGCUGGGAGCCGAGCUCCGGCGCUUACCACCACACCUCCCGCCUCCCCCCGGCCAAGGUUAGCCCUUCCGGCCGGCGAGCGCACACCCUGGGGUGGAGAGCAGGGAAUGAUUCCAACCCCCUACUCCACCCCUAAUUCGGGCCUGGGGUUUUAACUCGGCCGAAAAACUCACCAGCGCAGGCCGGGAGAAGGGCGGGGGCAUUCUAUGCUCCUUGCCCCAGCCCUCUCUCCCUCCCUCCCCCCGCGGGGCCCCCGGCGCCCGCCGCGGUCACGAGAUGCCUGACCGCACUUAGGAAGCGGCCGGGUCAGCCUCCUGCCUCCGCUCGGCGGCUGCGGUUAAAGCGGCUUCGCGCCGCCCGCCCCCUCCCCAGGUCCUGGGAGGCCGGGCAGCUCCCCCUCGCUGCGCCCGGGAGGCCGCCGGCGGGCGGCCGGGAGGAGGCGGGCGGCGCGGGCGGCUGCGUGCUGCCGGCUGGCCGGGCCGCGCGCCGGGAGGAGCUGCCGCAGCCGCCGCCGGGUGCCACGUGGCGGGCGCCGGGCCGGGAGCGCCGGGGCUCUGGCGGCGGCCUCCCUGGGGGAUUUGACGCGCGGGGCGGGCGACGAGCCCUUUCCCCGCCGGUCGGCCGCCACCUCCGCUUUACUCCCGCCUGCCUGCCGGGUCGUUCGCCCCCGCGCCCCCACCCGCUUUGCCCUUCCCGCCGUCCUGGAGCUUGGCGCGCUGCUCCGGGGGCUGGGGGCAGCCCUGGAGACGAGUCUUGUGUGAUGUCGCGCCCCCAAUCCCCCCGCCCUCCCAGCCUUCUCUAGGAGGCCUGGCACACGUUUCUCAGACACUUCAUUCCUUCCUUCCUCCGAGCUCCCCACUGAGAUAAUGUUGUAAAUGGUUUCACCAGAUCCUGGCCCCUGAUGAGAUUCAGAGGUUCCUGACUCUGGAUGACCUUGGGCAAGCCCCUCUCUCUUUCAUUUUGGAACUCAAACUCUGUGCCAGACACCGUGUUAAACCCUGGGAUUAGAUAGAGAGAUACAGUGCAGUCUGCAAGGAGUUCACAGUCAACUCUGGAGGCAGACAGACUUGGUUUUCUGAUUGAUGACGGGGCAUUCCUCUAUUCUUUCUUUCUCUGAGGGCUUAGAUAAUGGCUCAAGAGAUGAGGGGAACCUAAAGGAAACACUGAACCUCAUCUGCAUGGCCAGCACUGUUGCUGGUCUACCAGGGAAUACGAGGAUGAAUGAACUAAGUGCCCUCAGGAGGCCUACAGCCUAGAGAUUAUACUCAUGAAUGCAGCUGGCGGAUACCUACUUCCCAGUAUAUUCUUCUGUCAUCUUUCUACCCUCCUCCCAAAGCAAAGAGAAAAUUGAACCUUGUUCAUCAGUGGAGGUCACCUCUUUGAUCCCACUGUGAGACCAGCACAACACAGGCAUCUUUCCCACUGUACCAUGCCCAGUAUCGGAAUGGUUUGUGGGUUUGGUUUAAAGCUACAGAAAGGAGAGAGAGCGACAAGAAGAAAAAAGAUUCCCUGCAGCCUGCCAGAGACGUGGGAGCUGCUCUGCCAAGAGCUAUCCUGGGAGGGCAAUUGAAAGGGCCUUGAGGUUGCAGCAGCCAUUUCCCGGCAGUCUGAGCGCCCAGAAACGGCACAUUCCAGACCAGCUGUGCACGCGUGUUUGCCCACAUGUAGCAGGUGGGGGCACCGGAAAGGGGACGGAAGCCAGAAAUCACCUGCAUGAUGACUGCAUCCCGCCUCUGUUUCUGGCAUCGGCCUGACUUGCACCUGAGCUGCUCUGCUCCUGGUGCUUGGUGAGAGAAAAUGAUAGGCAAGAAAGCCAGAUGUUCCCCAGAGAAGAGGAUUCAGGAAUGCCUGGAGUCCGAGUCCUGGUUGGCAUGCAGAGGCAUUAGAAACAACUGCAACUCUGCAUUCCAUCUCUGAUAAAACCGGGAGACUCCGGCAGUAAUCCAGAGGGAAGAUGGAGAGCUGCCUUAAAGUGGGGCUGGUGGUCUGGAGAGAAGGGACCAUGAGACUGAGGCCUGUUGGACCUUGGAGACUGAUUGGACCUUGCUGGGGAGAAGGAGUCAAAGGACGACACUGGUUUGUUCUUGGCACAACUAAUAUUCCACAGUUCUGCUUUCAAUAAUAAUUCUUAGACUGAUUGUCCCUUCCUCCUGUCCCAAAGUCUGGAGUUCAGUGAAGAAAGACAAUUAGAUUUACCUCUUACGAUCCUUUACAAAAAUGGUGUUUAUUUUGAGAUAAUUUUAGACUUAAGAAAAGUUGCAAAAAAUAGUAUAGAGAGCUCUCUUGCUCCUUUAACCAGCUUCCCCUUUGUCACCAUCUUAUAUAACUAUGGAGUGAUCACCAAAACUAAGAAAAGAACUUUGAUAAAAUCCUGUAAACUACAGACUUUAUUCACAUCUCACCAUUUCUUUACUAUUGUAUCUUCUUUCUUUUCCAGAACCCCAUCCAGGGCCCCACAGUGCAUGGAGUUGUCUUGUCUCCUUAGUCUCCUUUGCUCGGUGACAGUUGGUCUGGCUUUCAUGACACUUGUUAGAGUAUUUGCCAAUUGUUUUUUAGAAUGUCCUCCUUUGGGGUCUGAUGUUGCUUCACUGCACUGCUAUUGUUAACCAUGAUCAUGAGGUUAAGAUGGUUUCUGUCAGGAUAGUCACUGUGAAGUUAACACUCUUCCCUUGUGUAUUCCCUGAAUGUCUGGGGGGGCCAGGGUGCAACUUCAAGACUCUCCAGAUAUGUUGUUUCUGCUUAGACGUGUGCCCACUAAAUACAGAGUUUAUCAAAG